CAGAGGGCCAGGGCUCCAGCUCCUUACCGCAGAGACUUUGAGGCCAAACUAAGAAACUUUUACAGGAAAUUAGAGGCCAAGGGCUACGGGCAGGGACCAGGCAAAAUCAAGUUGCUGAUCAGGAGAGAACACUUGCUGGAGGGAACCUUUAACCAGGUGAUGGCAUACUCCCGCAAAGAGCUGCAGAGAAACAAACUCUACGUUACUUUCCUCGGAGAGGAGGGAUUGGACUACAGUGGUCCGUCCAGAGAGUUUUUCUUCCUAUUGUCUCAGGAGUUGUUUAAUCCAUACUACGGUCUUUUUGAAUACUCAGCUAACGAUACUUACACCGUUCAAAUCAGCCCCAUGUCAGCAUUUGUUGAAAACCAUCUGG